ACGGGAGGCAGCAGUGGGGAAUUUUGCGCAAUGGGCGAAAGCCUGACGCAGCAACGCCGCGUGAGUGAUGAAGGCCUUCGGGUCGUAAAGCUCUGUCAGAGGGGAAGAAACACCCAGAGGCUAAUAUCCUCUGGGCCUGACGGUACCCACAAAGGAAGC
rnacentral:rRNA from 1 species